UACGUAGGGUCCGAGCGUUGUCCGGAGUUACUGGGCGUAAAGCGCGCGCAGGCGGCGGCGCAAGCCUGGCGUGAAAGCCCCCGGCUCAACCGGGGAGGGUCGUCGGGGACUGCGUCGCUUGAGGACGGCAGGGGCCGGUGGAAUGCCCGGUGUAGUGGUGAAAUGCGUAGAGAUCGGGCAGAACACCCGUGGCGAAGGCGGCCGGCUGGGCCGAUCCUGACGCUGAGGCGCGAAGGCGUGGGGAGCGAACGGG
rnacentral:rRNA from 1 species